GUGGCUCGCCCGCCGCCUACUUGGCCGCCAUAGAAUUGGGACACACUCAGCGCCAAGUUUGGAUUUGCGGGUGGAUCAUGACGCGGCUGCCAAAGCUUGCGGUUUUUGAUCUGGAUUACACGCUCUGGCCUUUCUGGGUAGAUACACACGUAGACCCCCCAUUCCACAAGAGCAGGUGAGACUAUAAGAGGUAUGGGACCAGAAAAGACAUUGCGGGAACUGAGCGUUCUGUCAUAUUCUCCAGCGAUGGAACUGUACGAGACAGGCGGGGCCAGAACAUCCAAUUGUACCCGGAGGUGCCCGAGGUCUUGGGAAGACUGCAGAGCCUUGGCGUGCCUGUCGCCGCUGCUUCUCGGACAAGUGAGAUACAAGGGGCCAACCAACUCCUGGAGCUCUUUGACCUUGGCAAAUACUUUAUUCAGCGGGAAAUCUACCCAGGCAGCAAAGUCACACACUUUGAGAGGUUGCACCACAAGACCGGAGUUCCUUUCUCUCAGAUGGUCUUCUUUGAUGAUGAGAAUCGGAAUAUCAUAGACGUUGGCAGACUUGGCGUUACCUGCAUUCACAUCCGGGAUGGGAUGAGUCUUCAAACGUUAACUCAAGGAUUAGAGACAUUUGCAAAGGCCCAAGCUGGACUCUGAGGUCCAAUCCUGUGGAUAAGCCUCAUCUGCAGUGUAAAACUAAAAUCAAGAAAGCCUUGUCAGGGGCUCUUGUAUUAAAGUGUCCACGUGUGACAGUCAGGGUUCUGCCACCGUAUGGGUUGUUUCCAUUUUUCUUUUCUUUUUCACAAAGAUUUAUUUAUGUAUAUGAUACUGUCAUUGUCUUCAGACACACCAGAAGAGGGUAUCGUAUCAGAUCCCAUUACAGAUGGCUGUGAGUUACCAUGUGGUUGCUGGGAAUUGACCUCAGGACCUCUGGAAGAGCAGGCAGUGCUCUUAACCACUGAGCCAUCUCUCCAGUCUGUUUCCAUUUUUCUAACAUGUAAACUGAAGUUGUGUCCUGAUUAGAGUGCACCAGGUUGUUGUUUCCUUGUGUUGGAACCCACCCUGAGACCUCCUCCAACGGUUUCAAAUAGUGGGGUGCCAUAACGCUGUGCAUUUCUUUGUAGGGACUAAAAGUUAAUACUGUUUGGAAAUAAGGUUGGGGCCGGCCGGCCUUUUCUGGUAGUAGGGAGUAGCUCAGGAAUGAGCCAACCAUAGCACGAGGCUUUGUCCCUCCAAGGUUUUAAUUGCGCUAUAUCCUGAUUGAUGAUGUCAUGGCUAUCUAUAUCCUGGAGGGAUUGGCCAAGGCCCUUCUCAGAAUGGUGAUAGUCUAGAGGAAGGCAGGCAAGCCGAGGGAUAGAGGCGGGAGAGAGAGAGCAAUGAAUGGACUCUGGACUCGGCAGACUCUUUAGGAGGUGUGACCCUGGGAGACAUUGGGCCUCCUGGGAGGUGCUGGCCAGAAGGGAAUGGGAACAACAAGAGCCAGGCAAGAAGAGGCCCAGGAGACAGGCUGGCCUGAAAACCUUGACCCAGCCUGGCACCCUGUUGCCAGAGGCCAACCUUAUCCAACCGCCUUGUCCCAGUCAGCCUUGAGCUGGACUGAGUCAGGGGGUGUGAAUGGAUGGUGGUGAGACAAUUGUUAACUCCUGUGGCAUGCAUGGGCUUGAGGGGACUGCUUUCCAGGUGGCUGUAUCCAGUCGUUUCUAAAAUGUUGUUGCUUACUUCAUUUGAAUAAAAGAGAUCCAAAGUGAAAA